rnacentral:lncRNA from 1 species
GGAAAAGAGGCAAUUGUAGAUACCGGCUAAAACUGUUGUCUUCCAAAUCAAAUAUAAAAGCCACCUUUUCAACCUCUAAUUUCAUAAUUUGGGAAUCAUAAUGAGACUUAUCAAUAUACAAAUAUAACUUGUGGAAGCUGCCAUCAAUUAAUAACAAGGAAAAAGAGUUGAUCCAACUUAAAUAAAUUAAGGUCGAAGAAAGAAACUCCAAAGAUUACAUGUACAAUUAGGUGGCCUCACACCAUAUCCAUUGAAUACAAUUCAAAACUACUUUAUCAUUUAAAUGCUUAAAAUAAACAAAUCAAUGCUAUAUAGAUGCUGAACAAUACUUACAAAGUCAACUCCAACGGUACUAAUGUAGUUUUCCAUAAAUGAAUCAUCCUGGUUCCCUCUAAGUUAACAAUAACACUUAUUGAUUAAAAUCUUAUUAUAUAUUUUUGAUUAAAGUAUUACCAACAUGUUUCAAAUUACAACAUUACCCACAAUACUAGACCUUAUGUAAUCUUCAACAACCUCAAUUAAUACCAACCAUAGAGUGUCACAACUGAAAAUGUUAAAGGUGAAGUGUCACGACAAUUAUGGGUACUAAAUUAGAAAAACUUUCUGUUUAAACGGCUUCUAGUAUGAUUACAAGAAUCUAGCGGAUUCUUUGGUAAAUAGUUAGAAUUCAAGUUUAGUCUUGUUACAUUAGAAACAAUAGUUUUCUUUUAGUAGGAAACAUUAUGAUUAACGAUAUUAAUAAUAUUGACCGACUUGGGAUUAAAGGAAACGGUAGUGGAAAGAUUAUAUAUGGGUGGACUCUUUCAUUCUGAUAUUCAUUUUCUUUCUUCCAUAUUCUUCUCUAAUUUGUUCUAUAAGAGAGAAAAGUUAAGAAGUGAUCUACAUGGAGGGAAAAAUUAGUGUAUCAACUUAAGUGAUUUAGGAUUUAGUAAACUAAUAAUCUUUCUAAGCUUUCUUGUAUCUUUUGAUUGAAGAAAAGGGAAGGAAAAUUGAAGAUUUCAAUUUAAUUCAUCGAGCUUGUACUGAGAUGUUUAUGGUUGCAGCUAACCUUUAAAUUCUCUUUGCAUGCCAAUGAAUUAUGGUUUUCUUACAUUUGAAUGCCUUCAUUUUGAUCUUAAUAUGAUUAUUAUGUUUAGCUAACCGAGAAGGAGGAGACUUAGGUGAUAAGGAAAAGCUAAGUAGGUGUAAUCGGUACUAGCUUUCAAGUAUUCUGCUGGUGAGUUUCUAAACUCAAACUCUCUGUGGUUAUUUAUAUUUAUCAAUACUAUGUUAUUGCAUUGUAUUUGACUUCAUGUUUUGCUGAUGAUGAGUUGAAUUAUUGUGGGUUGUUUGCUGUACGGUUGCAGUGUGCAAAGUGAUGAUUUACAAAUGUAUGUUUGAUUGUAUGUUUCAGUUCGUGGUUUUGUCAAACUUUCACUUAUAACAUAAUUACUGAAGAAGUUAUCAUUGAAAUGUUAGAUGAUAUGUUUGGUGUAAUCUACAUUGUGUUAUUAAAAUGAAUGAUCCUUUGAAUGCUUGUUAUAUGUCUGUCAUAAAUAUGAAUGAUAUGUAGAGUAUAGAGGGUUGUUUUGGCGGAUGAAAGAUGAAAAAAUGAUGUGUUGUGAACUCUGUGACAUAUGAUAUUGGCUUUACAGAGGUUUGGGCGGAUUGUACGAAGAAUGUAUACACAUGGUAUUCGACUUUGCGAAGGUUCCGUUGGAUUGCACAGAGAUAUAUGCACACAUAUAUAUAUGAUAACCCUACAUGGGUUCUUCUAAGUAUGAGACUCUGCGGACUCUAAGGCUUAAAGCCUCAUAUGUAUAAGCAAGUCCAUGGCCAUGACAUAUGUAAGUUAUGGAAGAUCGUCAGACUUGUUCUUUAAGAUUUAUGUCAAAGUUAUAUGUGAGAUUUCACCAUGCGAAGUCCGUGACAUGAAUUUGCAUGUAUCUGAAUGUAUAAAUCCACCACAUUAUGAAGUUUCUUCUAUGAAUCUGUAUUUAUAUGUAAGUAUUCGCCUAUGGAUCCGCAUGCAUGAGUUUGCCAUAUAUGAGUUCGUAUUCAUGAAUUUUCCUCUAUGAAUCCGUAUGCAUGACAAUCCGUUGGACUUGUUCUUUGGGUUUCAUCACAAAUUUUUACGUGGAAUUCCUUCAUGUGAAAGCUCGCGGAAUAACCCACAUAUAUGAAUCCGUAUUUAUAUGUAAGUAUUUGUCUAUGGAUUUGCAAGUAUGAAUUUCCCAUAUAUGAGUUCACACCUAUAUCUUCAAUAUGAAUUCGUAUGUGUGACAGUCCACUGGAUGUAUCAUUAUGAUUCAAGUUACGACAGCCUGUUGAUCUUAUAUCCAUGUUCAAGUUUAAGAUUUUAAAGAGACUAUCUUUCACAAGAGUCAGUAUGGACUAUUAUCUAAGCAAGAAAUCACAAGUUCUUACUGUUAUGUUCAAGCUAUGAGAGUUUGUAUGAGUUAUUUUUCUCAAGCCAAAAUUGUAGGGAUUUUCUUUCAUAUAGGAGCCCGCCAAGGUUUAUCUUUAAAA